rnacentral:lncRNA from 1 species
UUCAGUUUAGGGUUUAAACCCUAAUGCUGACUGAAUGGAAAAAUUCAGUUUAGGGUUUAAAACCCUAAUGCUGACUGAAUGGAAAAAGUUCAGUUUAGGGUUUAAAAACCUAAUGCUGACUGAAUGGAAAAGUUCAGUUUAGGGUUUAAAACUCUAAUGCUCACUAAAUGGAAAAAGUUCAGUUUAGGGUUUAAAACCCUAGUGCUGACUGAAUGGAAAAAGUUCAGUUUAGGGUUUAAAACCCUAAUGCUGACUGAAUGGAAAAGUUCACUUUAGGGUAUAAAACCCUAAUGCUGACUAAAUGGAAAAGUUCAGUUUAGGGUUUAAAACCCUAAUACUGACUGAAUGGAAAAGUUCAGUUUAGGGUUUAAAACCCUAAUACUGACUGGCUGGAAAAGUUCAGUUUAGGGUUUAAAACCCUAAUGCUGACUGAAUGGAAAAAGUUCAGUUUAGGGUUUAAAACCUAAUACUGACUGAAUGGAAAAAUUCAGUUUAGGGUUUAAAACCCUAAUACUGACUGGCUGGAAAAGUUCAAUUUAGGGUUUAAAACCCUAAUGCUGACUAAAUGGAAAAAGUUCAGUUUAGGGUUUAAAAUCCUAAUACUGACUGGCUGGAAAAGUUCAGUUUAGGGUAUAAAACCCUAAUGCUGACUGAAUGGAAAAGUUCAGUUUAGGGUUUAAAACCCUAAUGCUGACUAAAUGGGGAAAGUUCAGUUUAAGGUUUAAAACCCUAAUGCUAACUAAAGGAAAGAGU